CUCCUAGUAACGGCGAGUGAACGGAGAUUAGCCCAUCACCGAAGUCCAGUGCAUUUGCACAUAGGACAAUGUGGUGUUAAAGCUUGCCCCUGAGACUGCGAACCUACCCGAAGUCCAACUCCGAUUGUGGCUUAUGGAUUUGGCCCGAAGCGGGUGAGAGGCCCGUACGGGUAGGUUCAGUGUUGCCGCGGUCUUCAGAUGAGCAUGCUUUCGAGUCGGAUUGCUUGAGAAUGCAGUCCAAAGUGGGUGGUAAACUCCAUCCAAGGCUAAAUACUGGCACGAGUCCGAUAGUAGACAAGUACCGUGAGGGAAAGUUGAAAAGUACUCUGAAGAGAGAGUAAAUAGUACGUGAAGCCGGUUGCAGGGAAGCUGAUGGAGUCAAGCUUCAUGCUUGGGGGAUUUAUGUUAGCAGCCCUAUUGUUAUCGGGCUAAUGACCGAUCCAACUUGGAAAUAGUUGGGCGCAUUCGUGUGUUCCAAGUCAUUCCGGGUAGUGUGAUUGUGGGCGGUCAUUUGGUCCAGUUGUUAACAUUCUAUCCUCCGUUGCAUAAAUCACGGUUGAUACUCGUGUGCUGUACGGUUGUCUAACUGUGCCACGGUGGGUUUUGUGCUUGCCGAGUACAGGAUGGCAGGUUGAGGCUAUUGUCCUUGUGAUAGUUGGUCUCUUAUAGUGGUUUAGACCAGCCGAUGACCGUGCAGUAUCGUGGGUAUCAUUGUUACAUGGUGUGUAGUUCAAGGACUAUACGCUAGUUAGAACCGUGAUUCUGAGGUAGACGUUCCAUCCGACCCGUCUUG
rnacentral:rRNA from 1 species